UACAGCAUCAAUAAAGAAAAUUCACUUGAUAAUGAGAAUGAGCCUGUAAAGUUGAACAAUAAGUUAAAAGCAGCUGUUAUUUAUUUACAGCUGCACAAAUUUGAUAUAUACAAUAGGUCAGAUUAUAUAUAUGUCUGAAAGUGCUCACAGAGACAAACCCACAGAGAACUAUCAAGCAAUUCUCACAAACUCUACGUAACAUUUUAGUGCCUCUCUCGGUUUAUUGUGUUGGUUUUACAGCCUGUAAUUUUACAGUUUAGAUCCUCUCUCACUGCUCUUAUCAACCCUGUUUUCAGCUGCAGCGGGCUACUGUUCUCUUUAUCAGAAGUGAAUAAUGGAAUUAGAUAAGUUGCCAGUUUAUUAGCUAAACCUAAUGCAUACAUUUUUCUUUGCCUCUGUCGCCAUGUGCUUGCUCAUGGUGGGAAAUGUUGGGUCUUGGUAAACAAUAUUAUAAGCACAGACCUGGUCAACAUUCAAAGUGUCAUGAGAUAACUUCUGUUAUGAUUUGGUGCUAUCUGUUUUAUGGCAUGUGAUGGCACCUCUGCUUGGUUCACUCUUGUCUACAGGGCUGCAGACCAAUUCAUCAGCAGCACGGGACACACCUGGUCCGGUGUGUUUCAUGCAUAUAAGCCAGAGCAGCAGACGGCCCUGGGACAGACAUUCUCACCUACAACAAGAACUGGGCUGUUCUCACAGGAAGCAAAGCAAAUUUUCAACCAAUGCAAUGACAUACAAAGUCUGUAAUUAAAUGUAAAGCAACGCGACAGGAAUACACGCAAUUUAAAAUUCAUCGUAGGGCUUUGCAGUGUUGUCUGGAGAGGACUGGUCGGAGUGGAAGGACAGAAGUACAGCUCACAGAGAAACAGCAGACUGAGCACUGGGGAGCUCUGAAGGACAGAGCCAAGCCCAGGGCUAGAAUUUCUGGAGGAAUAAACACCUGGAAUCACAUUGGUUUGUGCUCUGAUCUCAAGCCAUCUACCAAUAGGAGGAGAGCAGUUUGUUAUAAAUGGUUGAGAUUAAAAAGUGGAUUCAUCUUCACUUUCCUGUCUCAACUUGUUUACAGCAGCAAACCAUGCAGGUGCUGUCCUCCAGAGUAAAAGGCACCCAGAGCUCAAUGAUACGACUUCAUAUUUAAACUGAGACCAGACAACAAACGAGAGUUGGACUAUUCUGUCUGAAAAUAUGUCUUUUAUAUGAUUCCAACCAUUGCUAUACUUUACUAUAAACCAUGCCAGCAUAUAGCCCUAAUCAAUCCGAACUGUCUUGCAUAUAUAUAUAUAGAUGUGUAUUAGGGGGGAAAAGCUGCUCUGUUUUUCCAAGAAAUGAAAAGAAACUGGAGACUCCAGAACAGGGCACAGCCGCAACGACCGCCUCCCUCAGGCUCUCCAGAGGAGUACCCGGGUGUGAAGGCUAAGGGGCAGAGAGCUCCCGCUGGAUCUUGCUGGAGGCUUUCUUGGGGUUGGAGAGCCAGUGUUAGGGGCUUUGGGUCAGGUUUAAAUGGCUGAGAUUUCUGCCUGGGUCCACUGGAACAUGCUGGAGGCUGGUUAUGGGAUUUGGGUUAGGCUCAGGAGGGCUGAGAGCCAGUAACUGUGCAUGGAGAGCCUGCUGGAGCCGACUUGUUAAUUCUGAAAAACAGAUGAUUUUUUUUCCCCUCCAGGAAAACGUAACUCAUUAAUCCGGGAAAAACAGAAUGAAAACUCCAGACAGACCUGACAAAGCAUGAAUGCAGACCUUUUCAUAGAUCUGCGUCAUGAUGUAGUUAUUUUAACAUCCUUUUAAUCAGUUUAUUGCCAAAAAAAAAAAACCUAUCAAAAUGUCUUUAUUUUGGACUCACACUGGAAGCCAGAUUAAGGACGAAUAUUUAAUCACAAAAAACACAAACAAUCGUGUAGUAAUGCAAGGCUUUCUCCGUGAACACACCAUCAAAGAACUGCUGAUUCAAUUGUAUGAUCAUUUUUCGUUGUGUUAUACUGGCAUGUGUUCUAUAAUUUCAACACAUAUCAAUAAAUAACAGAAACACUUCUCUUUAUCUGUGUCUGCGUGGGUUCUCUCCAUUUAUUCCAGCUUCCUCACACAGGCCAAAGACGUGGAGGUUCAUUGGAGACUCUAAAUUCCUCUGUUGGUGUAAAUGUUUGUUUGUCUCUACGUGUUGGCCCUGUGAUGACGAUCUGGCGACUUGUCCAGGGUGUACUCUGGAUAUCACAUAUCAAAAACAGUUUCAACUUUAUUAUUAUAACCUUCAUGAAGUUUGGAUUUGGAUUACUACAUUAGAUACACCUUAGUUUUAGUUAGUUGUACAUAAUAAAGUGGCCAGUGUAGGUGUGUCCAAGUGACCAAGAACAUGACCUCAAAGAGUAAUGUACUAAUUUAGCAGCCAAGCUUUAGGAUCAGCCAAUGCUGGCUUUGUUCUUGUCGGUAUCUGUUGUGUCGCAUCAGUAACAUUGUGUUGGUUAUUUCCAAAUAUUGGAGAAAUAAUCACAUCCGUUUCCAGCACUGCCACAAAUUGCAUGCAAUGUGCUCCACGCACGAGCAAAGACAAUGACUGUUCAGCUCUGCGUCCUACAUCUACAAUGAGAAGAGACAGAGCUACAACAAGGCAACAAGGCUUAUCUUUAGAGAUUUGUUUUGUUUGCUUGGCACAAAAAAAGCUUAAACUCCUCUGAAAAUCUUGUUUUUGCUGACCUCCGGUGUUUUAACUUUUCACCUUGCCACAGUGAUGUACAGGUGUACUCCAGGACCCUGUGACAUCACCAUGUGUGGUGUGGUUGCAGAUGCAACAAAAGCACUCUUCUGAUGACAUCUAGGUUUGGUGGCUAGCGGGGCCAGUUCACAGGAAAGUCAAUGUUUGUAUGAUGAAUUGAAUUCAUGUACACUAUCCAACAAACAGUUUGGCAGCAGAGGAGUUGAGGCGACAGCAUCAAACAGCAUAGCAACCAAAGAGAAGAGAGCAAGAGAAUCCAACAUUUGAAAAGCGAUCUGGAAUAAAUAUAAAAGGAACUCUGCAUCAUUUUAUGCUGCCUGCAUAAAACGUGCAAAAUCAAAAGAGUGGAAGAUCAGAAAAAGAGAAGACGAUACCACAGUUUGUUGCCAAGGACCAUACAGAUUCUCCAAGACCCUUCUUGGUCAACACAGAUGAGGCAGACCAGCAAAAAGGAGAUUGUAAUUCUUGGAGAAAACAAACCCUGUGAGGAGCAUGGACUGGACAACAAUUCACAAACCAGAAAUGUCUUUUAAACUCACUGAAAAGCAGCCAACAUGACGGGAGAUAAACAACAUUGUUAGCAGAGUAAGAUCAUCUAGCAGUUCAGUCCCCAGCAGUAUACCUUAUACAGAGCUUCUUCGGCAACUGUGCAAGCUUAAAGGCCUUACAGGUUUUCCAAUGUUUAUCAGCCAGCUUAUUCAUGGGGCAGAAAACAGGCAACAGGAUUUAACUGUUAUCUUGUUAGACUUGACAAAUGCCCCAUGGAUUAAUUCCACAUGACUUUAUUCAAGCAGGUUAUCAAGCUACACUGCUCAACUGGCAAAGACAUUCAAGGAAGUUGAGGUGUUUGAUGGCUAGAAAGUGCAAAGUCACCAGCAAGGUUACCCUGACUGAAAGUAAUCAACAAUCUCUGAUGAAAUUCAAGACUUGGGUGUACCAAUAUGGACUUUUACCAAGGCUGCUGUGGCUGUUAACAGUGUGAAAAUUUCCCAAGACAACUGGGAGAGUAUUGACAGAAAAAAAAUCAACAAGCAGAGGAGAUGGUUUGGUGUUCCCCCAAGCUUUCCCUUCUGUGGGUCUCUAUGUUGGAUGAGCUUAUAUUAGCUACUCUAUUAACAUCAGUGGUAGAAGAAUUUAACAUGGCAAAGGUUAAGCACUGCUAAAUUUAAAAGACACAAAGGAUGUGUGCAUCAACUGGAGUAACACUGGGAUUUACAUUCCCCUUUGUUUUUCAAAGAAAAAA